rnacentral:rRNA from 1 species
AUUGAACGCUGGCGGCAGGCUUAACACAUGCAAGUCGAGCGGGGUGAUGGUGCUUGCACUAUCACUUAGCGGCGGACGGGUGAGUAAUGCUUAGGAAUCUGCCUAUUAGUGGGGGACAACAUCUCGAAAGGGAUGCUAAUACCGCAUACGUCCUACGGGAGAAAGCAGGGGAUCACUUGUGACCUUGCGCUAAUAGAUGAGCCUAAGUCGGAUUAGCUAGUUGGUGGGGUAAAGGCCUACCAAGGCGACGAUCUGUAGCGGGUCUGAGAGGAUGAUCCGCCACACGGGGACUGAGACACGGCCCAGACUCCUACGGGAAGCAGCAGUGGGGAAUAUUGGACAAUGGGGGGAACCCUGAUCCAGCCAGGCCGCGUGUGUGAAGAAGGCCUUAUGGUUGUAAAGCACUUUAAGCGAGGAGGAGGCUCUUUUGGUUAAUACCCAAGAUGAGUGGACGUUACUCGCAGAAUAAGCACCGGCUAACUCUGUGCCAGCCGCCGCCGUAA